CAGUAUAAGUCAAGGCACCUUUGUUUUACUUAUUGAUGCGGCAAAAUAUGAUAACAAAAAUUUUACUUGUUAAUGCGGCAAAAUAAAAUAAAAUACGGUAAGCGAAAUCAUCGACCUACUUUGGAGUUAUGUUAACGUCUGCUAACCUCGUAAUAUUCGGUACAAAAAAAUGUAAUUCCUCGUUCUCAAUCUCCUUACGAAAGAAUGUUGUUAUUCCAGAAUUAUUCCGGCACAAAAUCCUCCGGUUAACAACCCUAAAGAACUAGCCUCAACAACUGUACUUAAUGAUGAACAGAGUCAAUGAUGAUGGACUUCGUGUGUCAAAAAGGUAAAACGUGUCACUGGUAACAAUGAAAAAAUUCAUUUAUACGGUGAAUAAUACUACAGGCUACAAUGAUACUUCACACCUCUAUUCCUGGUAUACAAAGCAAAACGAAACUUUAGAGCUGAGUGAGUUGCAACAGGGUUAUUUCAAAGAAAUCGACGUAUUAUUAACGUCGAUAUUUCGACCAUCUCCUAAUAUUUCUACAUCAUUAACAAAAAACGUUAAAGAAUUCUAAUUGUUGAAUUGAAAUGUAAUUGUUGAAUUAAAAUAUAGUUGUUGAAUUGAAAUGUAAUUGUUGAAUUGAAAUGUAAUUGUUGAAUUGAAAUGUAAUUGUUGAAUUGAAAUGUAAUUGUUGAAUUGGAAUGCAAUUGUUGAAUUGAAAAUUCUUUUGUAUCUUUAACACUUGUUUAUUUUGAAUGUUUAUUGAU